rnacentral:lncRNA from 1 species
UUGAAAUCCUUCCUCCUGGUAUGUCAGCACUCUCAGCUUCAAUUACAGUUAAAAAGAAACCUGCUCCGGUGACUCAGACUUCACAGCCACAAAGCAAACCAUUGGCAUUAGAAGCACCUCCUACUGGACCAGCUUCUGCUGCAGUACCUGGCACACCAAUAGGAGCACCUCCUUCUGAUGCACCAGAUGCAACACCUGGUACGCCAAUAGGAGCAGCAACUCCUGAUGCACCAGCUGUGGCAGCAACAGGUGCAGCACCCGCAUCCGAAGCAAGUGAACCUGCUCUAGUAGAAGAAGCUCCUAAUUCAUCAACAGGG